rnacentral:rRNA from 1 species
ACGAACGCUGGCGGCGUGCUUAACACAUGCAAGUCGAACGUUGAAGCGCCUUCCUUUUUGGUGGGUGUGGAUGAUUGGUGAACGGGUGAGUAACACGUGAGUAACCUGCCCCCUUCUUUUGGAUAACCGCUUGAAAGUGUGUCUAAUACGGGAUAUUCUGCGUCUGUCUCAUGAUGGGUCUGGGAAAGAUAUUGUUUAGGUGGGGGAUGGGCUCGCGUCCUUUCAGCUUGUUGGUGGGUUGAUGGGUUACCAAGGCGGUGACGGUUGGCCGGUCUGAGAGGGUGGACGGGCACACUGGUACUGAAACACGGGCCAGACGCGUACGUGAGGCAGAUGUGGGUAAUAUUGCAAAAUGGGCGCAAGACAGAUGCAGCGACGCUGCGUGAGAGAUGGAGGACGUCGGGUUGUGAACCACUUUCGACAGUGAAGCAGGCAUGCCUCGUUUGUGUGUGGGUUGACGGGAGCUUGAUAAGAAGCGCCAGCUAACUACGUG